UACGGAGGGGGCUAGCGUUGUUCGGAAUUACUGGGCGUAAAGGGCGCGUAGGCGGCCAUUCAAGUCGGGGGUGAAAGCCUGUGGCUCAACCACAGAAUUGCCUUCGAUACUGUUUGGCUUGAGACCGGAAGAGGUAAGUGGAACUGCGAGUGUAGAGGUGAAAUUCGUAGAUAUUCGCAAGAACACCAGUGGCGAAGGCGGCUUACUGGUCCGGUUCUGACGCUGAGGCGCGAAAGCGUGGGGAGCAAACAGG
rnacentral:rRNA from 1 species